rnacentral:rRNA from 1 species
UACGUAGGGUGCGAGCGUUGUCCGGAAUUAUUGGGCGUAAAGAGCUCGUAGGCGGUUUGUCGCGUCUGCCGUGAAAGUCCGGGGCUCAACUCCGGAUCUGCGGUGGGUACGGGCAGACUAGAGUGAUGUAGGGGAGACUGGAAUUCCUGGUGUAGCGGUGAAAUGCGCAGAUAUCAGGAGGAACACCGAUGGCGAAGGCAGGUCUCUGGGCAUUAACUGACGCUGGGGAGCGAAAGCAUGGGGAGCGAACAGG